rnacentral:rRNA from 1 species
AGAGUUUGAUCAUGGCUCAGGACGAACGCUGGCGGCGUGCUUAAUACAUGCAAGUCGAGGGACGAAACCGGCAUGGGCAACCAUGCUGGCUGAAACCGGCGAACGGGUGAGUAACACGUGGGCAACGUGCCCCAGACCCAGGAACAACAACGGGAAACCGUUGCUAAUGCCUGAUAACCCCUGCGCACCGCAUGGCGUGCAGGGCAAAGCUCCGGCGGUCUGGGAUCGGCCCGCGCCCUAUCAGCUUGUUGGUGAGGUAACGGCUCACCAAGGCGUCGACGGGUAGCUGGUCUGAGAGGAUGAUCAGCCAGACUGGGACUGCGAAACGGCCCAGACACCUACGGGUGGCAGCAGCGAGGAAUCUUCCACAAUGGGCGCAAGCCCGAUGGAGCAACGCCGCGUGGAGGACGGCGGCCUUCGGGUUGUAAACUCCUUUCGGGGGGGAUGAAACGGACAGUACCCCCAGAAGCAGCCCCGGCUAACUACGUGCCAGCAGCCGCGGUAAUACGUAGGGGGCGAGCGUUGUCCGGAAUUAUUGGGCGUAAAGAGCGUGUAGGCGGUUUGGUAAGUCUGCCGUGAAAACCCGGGGCUCAACCCCGGUCGUGCGGUGGAUACUGCCAGGCUAGAGGAUGGUAGAGGCGAGUGGAAUUCCCGGUGUAGCGGUGAAAUGCGCAGAUAUCGGGAGGAACACCAGUAGCGAAGGCGGCUCGCUGGGCCAUUCCUGACGCUGAGACGCGAAAGCUAGGGGAGCGAACAGGAUUAGAUACCCCAGUAGUCC